UCCCACAUAGCUCAGUCGAUAAAGCAUCUGCCUGCCACGCGGGAGACCUGGGUUCAAUUCCUGGGUUGGGAA
rnacentral:tRNA from 1 species